AGUACGUCGUUGGCGAAUGUUAAUUAUGAAUAUUAUUGGUAUGAAAAUAUUGAGAAAGGCCAAGGACAAAAAGGGAAAAUUGCAAAGUGGUUCACGGUAAUAGUGAGGAAAGUCUAGGGGCAAAAAGGUAAUUUCACGAAGAGUUCAAGAAAACUCUUGAAAGGGCCACUUUGGCCAUGUGACAUGAAGUGUGGGUCCUACCUAUGGCCAUGUGUCCAUAUUCUUAAUUGUGGGGCUUAAGUGUCAACAUAGCAAAGUUGUGGCAAAAAUAAGACAAAGUAAUUUUUAUGGAAACUUCAAGAAAAAUUAGUCUUCUUUCAAGAAGACUCUAGAGAAAAAAAAGAAGAAGGGGACAUGUGGAAAUUUUAUGAUUGGAAGGGACUAAAAUAUAAAAAUGUGAAAGAUGACUAGUUCAUCAUUAUUUAAGAGUUGGAGAAGGAAAAAAAAAAGGGGAAAGAAGCAAGAGAAGAGAGAGGGACGACCAUGAAGAAAAAAAAAGAAGAGAGAAAAAAAAAAUUCCCAAGCCUCCAACUUUGAUUCAAAAAGUAUAAUUUUCUCGUAUUCCUACUAAGUUCAAGAUUCUCUUCAAGGUGGUAUAAUUAUUUUGGCAAGAAAGUGACUUUGGUGGCAAGUGGAGAAUUGAAGAAAAGGGGAGGUGCUGCCGAAAUUCCGGUAGACAAGUACUAAUUCAAGAUUGAAUACCAAGAGCCUUAUAGUUAACAUUUGGUAAAUAUGACCAUUUGUAGAUUUUGGGCGAAACGGGAAUUGAAUCUGGACAAGCGUAAGGCGCAACUAAGGUACUCCCAGGUGAGUUGAAGACAGUAUAGAAGAUGUUCCAGUGCAGAUGGCAAGAUCCCUUUGUUCCCGGAGUGCUGCCGAGUCAGAGUUUGUAUGUUAUGCUUUCUGGAUUACGUUAGAGACUUUGCAGAUAGCGUCGUGGGUAUUGGUUAUUAGUCUGUAAGUGGCUCCGUCAGCCGAUAUGCCGGUUUGUGUUAUGUACUGAAUCUUUUAUGAACAUAGAUCUGUUCGGCUUGGAAGCUACGGGAAAGAAUAUUUCUGAAAAAAAUAAUUUACGGUGUAUUUUAUCUUAUCUGAUUUAAAAAGUUUGACGUGAUUUUAUGUGCAGCAAAAGUCUGAGGGUUCGCUC